AAAAAAAGUCCGUGACCACGGGAAGAACAUAAAACUCAAAAUAUACAGGCGUCAGGAUCGAACCCAUGACCUGUAUACCCGGCGAGGUAGUUAACAUUUCACCACAAGUGUUUUCCCCCACCCUCCCGACUCAUUUUCUCACAAGCUCCGUUUAUUUUGCCUCUGUUUCGUGGUGUCAGCUUUGUGUCGACGCAUGAGGGAGAGGUCGGCUGGGAAUUUUGCAAUCAGUUGUCACCAGAUAAAUUUCUGAAACAAAGACUCGGCAUGCUUAUUCGUUAAUCCGUGCUUUUUAUCCAGUUUCACCACAACCAGGGUUUUUUGCCCCCGUAAGUUCCUACAAUUUCCAAUUUUAUGUUAAAUAUGCAAUCAUUUUUAUUAAACAGUUACUAGGAUUAAUUGCUAGUAUGAUGCUCGCGUAUAAUUAUAUUUACAAGACGGUUUGCUUGGAGUUGUGGAUUUGAAGGGACUGGUCUGGAUGAUGGAGCAGCAUUCUCCGCGUGCUGUACAAACAACGCAGCUGUAAAGUGAGUAUUGUAUUUUUAAUGAAAUAAAUUUGAUGCAGAAGUUACGCCUUUGGCUUAUCUGCCACCAAAAAAGUCCCAUUUGGAUACGUGCUGCGGGGAGGUUUUUUGGCAUAAAAUAUAGUUCUUAACCUCGUUUUGAUGGAAAGCAGUGGCCGAUAGGCACUGGGGUUCAUCGUGGCCAUGUUGGAUCUCAAAGUUCAGGUUGAUUUGAAUUGGCGAUUAAACAAAGUUCAGGUUGAUUUGAAUCGGCGCUUAAACAAAGUUCAGGUUGAUUUGAAUCGGCGCUUAAACAAAGUUCAGGUUGAUUUGAAUCGGCGCUUAAACAAAGUUCAGGUUGAUUUGAAUCGGCGCUUAAACAAAGUUCAGGUUGAUUUGAAUCGGCGCUUAAACAAAGUUCAGGUUGAUUUGAAUCGGCGCUUAAACAAAGUUUAGGUUGAUUUGAAUCGGCGCUUAAACAAAGUUCAGGUUGAUUUGAAUCUGCGCUUAAACAAAGUUCAGGUUGAUUUGAAUCUGCGCUUAAACAAAGUUCAGGUUGAUUUGAAUCGGCGCUUAAACAAAGUUCAGGUUGAUUUGAAUCUGCACUUAAACAAAGUUCAGGUUGAUUUGAAUCUGCGCUUAAACAAAGUUCAGGUUGAUUUGAAUCUGCGCUUAAACAAAGUUCAGGUUGAUUUGAAUCGGCGCUUAAACAAAGUUCAGGUUGAUUUGAAUCGGCGCUUAAACAAAGUUCAGGUUGAUUUGAAUCGGCGCUUAAACAAAGUUUAGGUUGAUUUGAAUCGGCGCUUAAACAAAGUUCAGGUUGAUUUGAAUCUGCGCUUAACAAAGUUCAGGUUGAUUUGAAUCGGCGCUUAAACAAAGUUCAGGUUGAUUUGAAUCGGCGCUUAAACAAAGUUCAGGUUGAUUUGAAUCUGCGCUUAAACAAAGUUCAGGUUGAUUUGAAUCUGCGCUUAAACAAAGUUCAGGUUGAUUUGAAUCAGCGCUUAAACAAAGUUCAGGUUGAUUUGAAUCAGCGCUUAAACAAAGUUCAGGUUGAUUUGAAUCGGCGCUUAAACAAAGUUCAGGUUGAUUUGAAUCGGCGCUUAAACAAAGUUCAGGUUGAUUUGAAUCGGCGCUUAAACAAGGUCCCCAAGUCCAGCAAGUUGGGGGGUCUCGGCAUUGUCAACAAUGCACACAAAAAACAUUCAAUUGCAGAAAUCCGUUUACUAAGAAUGUCGGUUCAAUUGCUCAUCCACACGAUUCAAGGAGCACAAUCUAAGUGGAUGUAGGAAACCUAUUUAUUCAUAAUAAAGGUUUUUGGGUUAGAUCGCGUUAUUUAAGCCUAUUUAUGUUACUCGAGUAGUGUCCAAUUCCAUGGCUUUUUGAUAUGCUCUGCCAACUGAAGGAGUUCCAGAAGGAAAUUUCUUAUGACGUUUGACACUGCCAAUAGUAUGUGGGAUAUCAUUGUGGAUACAAAAAUAAUUUAAAAGCCCAGCAUCUCAAUCCAACAACGGUAUCUGUUAUAUUGCAACUACUGCCAGUUGAAAAAGGCAACCAAAGAAGCACAUUGCUGGAAAACAUUUGACCAGAGAAGUCUCAACGGCUCGAGAUUAUUUCAACACUUAAACAAAUGCAGUUUAUUUUCAUUUCGGGCAAUGUGGAGGGACAACACAUGAUUUACAAUGCACAUUUAUCUAUAUUAUAGCCAACCUGAGUAAAACUGCAUUCAAGUUCAAACUUCCAAUGGUAAACUCUUCAAAUAGGUUAUUUCACUUUCCACAAACUCUCCAAUUAUAAUAUGCAAUUUAAACUUAUGCUGUUUGUAUCUAAAGACAUUUUCAAUUUAAAUUUUAGUAAACCUUUCACUCCUGUUGCAUAGUCUAUAUAAAACAAUGACAUACUUGUAUGUACUGUAUAUAACAUUUGUAGAUUUUUAUUCGAUGCUCUUGUGUAAAAUGUUCAUAGGUUGUCGACUCUGUCCUGUUCAUUCUUUACGUCACCUUCCGUUUCGUCACAUCUUGACUACGCUGUCCAGAUUCCUCGGUAUUUUGACCCUGCCACAUUAAACAAAUUUGUAAUGAUGUGCAUUACACAGCCCCUUU